AUUAGAGUUUGAUCCUGGCUCAGAAUCAACGCUGGCGGCGUGCCUAACACAUGCAAGUCGAACGCGAAAGGGGCUUCGGCCCUGAGUAGAGUGGCGAACGGGUGAGUAACACGUGGGUGAUCUACCUCUGAGUGGGGGAUAACGUUCCGAAAGGAGCGCUAAUACCGCAUGACGUUCUCGGUUUGAAGACCGGGAAACCAAAGCCGGGGACCGCAAGGCCUGGCGCUUGGAGAGGAGCCCGCGCCUGAUUAGCUAGUUGGUGGGGUAACGGCUCACCAAGGCGACGAUCAGUAGCCGGCCUGAGAGGGCGGACGGCCACACUGGGACUGAGACACGGCCCAGACUCCUACGGGAGGCAGCAGUGGGGAAUUGUUCGCAAUGGGCGCAAGCCUGACGACGCAACGCCGCGUGGAGGAUGAAGGUCUUCGGAUUGUAAACUCCUGUUGCCCGGGACGAAAGGCCCCGACCUAAUACGUCGGGGUUUGACGGUACCGGGUGAGGAAGCCACGGCUAACUCUGUGCCAGCAGCCGCGGUAAUACAGAGGUGGCAAGCGUUGUUCGGAAUUACUGGGCGUAAAGGGCGCGUAGGCGGUCGCCUAAGUCGGACGUGAAAUCCCCAAGCUUAACUUGGGAACUGCGUCCGAUACUGGGUGACUUGAGUUCGGGAGAGGAAUGUGGAAUUCCAGGUGUAGCGG
rnacentral:rRNA from 1 species